rnacentral:rRNA from 1 species
CGCGGCCUAUCAGCUUGUUGGAGAGGUAACGGCUCACCAAGGCAUCGACGGGUAGCUGGUCUGAGAGGAUGAUCAGCCACACUGGGACUGAGACACGGCCCAGACUCCUACGGGAGGCAGCAGUGGGGAAUCUUGCACAAUGGGCGCAAGCCUGAUGCAGCAACGCCGCGUGCGGGAAGAAGGCCCUAGGGUUGUAAACCGCUUUCAGUAGGGAAGAAAAUGACGGUACCUACAGAAGAAGGUGCGGCCAACUACGUGCCAGCAGCCGCGGUGACACGUAGGCACCAAGCGUUAUCCGGAUUUAUUGGGCGUAAAGAGCUCGUAGGCGGUUCAGUCAGUCGGGUGUGAAAACUUGAGGCUCAACCUCAAGAGGCCACCCGAUACUGCUGUGACUCGAGUGCGGUAGGGGAGCGGGGAAUUCCUGGUGUAGCGGUGAAAUGCGCAGAUAUCAGGAGGAACACCAGUGGCGAAGGCGCCGCUCUGGGCCGUAACUGACGCUGAGGAGCGAAAGCAUGGGUAGCAAACAGGAUUAGAUACCCUGGUAGUCCAUGCCGUAAACGUUGGGCACUAGGUGUGGGUCUCAACCAACGAGAUCCGCGCCGUCGCUAACGCAUUAAGUGCCCCGCCUGGGGAGUACGG